CCUACGGGUGGCUGCAGUGGGGAAUCUUGCACAAUGGGCGCAAGCCUGAUGCAGCCAUGCCGCGUGUGUGAAGAAGGCCUUAGGGUUGUAAAGCACUUUCAGCGAGGAGGAAGGCACCAUACUUAAUACGUGUGGUGACUGACGUUACUCGCAGAAGAAGCACCGGCUAACUCCGUGCCAGCAGCCGCGGUAAUACGGAGGGUGCAAGCGUUAAUCGGAAUUACUGGGCGUAAAGCGCACGCAGGCGGUUUGUUGAGUCAGAUGUGAAAUCCCCGCGCUUAACGUGGGAACUGCAUUUGAAACUGACGAGCUGGAGUCUUGUAGAGGGGGGUAGAGUUGCAGGUGUAGCGGUGAAGUGCGUAGAGGUCGGGAGGAAUACCGGUGGCGAAGGCGGCCCCCUGGUCAAAGACUGACGCUCAGGUGCGAAAGCGUGGGGAGCAAACAGGAUUAGAAACCCAAGUAGUC
rnacentral:rRNA from 1 species